UCGUUGUAAAGAUCACGGUUGGUCAAGAGGGAACUGGCCAGGUGUAUUGCAGAUCCCCCGCUCAAGGAGUGGCUGAAGGGUCUGGAAUACAGCAAGAAUUGUCUGGCUUCAUGCUGACCAGACUGGCGAGCUAACCGUUUAAGCGGAUCCGGAAAUACAACACCUAUUAUCUUCCGAACUGGUUGGAGAUUCAGCCCAACAAGUCUUCAUUGAAGGAACUGGAUUAUUAUUUUGUUUUUUCCCUUUCAUCAUCAACAAAGACUGGUUGGCUGCCUUGGUAUAAGGAACUCUUUUGGACUUUAAAUUGUGGACUAACUUGUAUAUAUUGUAAAUAUUAAUACAACUCACCAAUUUUUGCACCA